rnacentral:lncRNA from 1 species
UGUAUCCAAAAAAUAANUUUAAGUCAUGCCACUUUCUUGCAGGGUCUAAAAGAAAUUGCGGAGUCUUUGUCUGGAACUUUGACUAAGUCAACUGAUGCUAUUGUGCAAGACGAUAUUGAAGGUCCAAGAAUGAAACCAACAAACCUGCUGAGGUUUGAAUAAGAACUGUUUUAUCUAGUAUUUACAUCAUUCUUGAACAUUGUAAUGGAGCCAAUCUGCUUGUAUGCAUAUCUGAUGAUUUUUGCUGAGGUUCCCAUUUAUGGCAUGCCUCUUUUUUCUUUUUUACUUUGCUUUUUUUUCUUUUGGCUGGUCAUAUUUGUGUGCCCGGUAGAUGCAUUUGGCACUAUGAACUGAUUCGGUGGCAGUUACAAAUUAACAUAGGUCUUAAUUCUGGAACUGCCCUUCAUAAAUGGCUUCAUCUGUACUUAACCCAGUUGUUUUUGCAGGUCGGUCUCAACCAAGUGUUGAUUGCAAUAUUCUAAACAAGAUGACCAUACACUAUUAUUUGAUGUAGGUAUACGUAUGAGAUGGCUUAGCUUUAAUUGGUUUGGUUGUUCCAAGUUUUAUGUACACAAUCUCANAGUAACUGCCGAGUUGUUUUUCAUUUCANGUAUUUCUCCGUGGUAUUUUUUCCCCAAUAUUCUGAUUAUGGAGAUGAAGUAAA